rnacentral:antisense_RNA from 1 species
GUUUAUGGUGGCUCGAUGGGAGGCUCGCAAGAGCCUGCCGGUUCACGCAAGUGGUUCCCGGUUCGCCAACCCGUCGAGUCACCGCCCUC